GCCGGGCGUGGUAGCGGGCGCCUGUAAUCCCAGUUACUUGGGAGGCUGAGGCAGGAGAAUUGCUUGAACCCAGGAGGCAGAGGUUUCAGUGAGCCGAGAUUGAGCCACUGUACUCCAGCCUGGGCCACAGAGCAAGACUCUGUCUCAA
ensembl:misc_RNA Metazoa_SRP Metazoan signal recognition particle RNA